rnacentral:rRNA from 1 species
AUUGAACGCUGGCGGCAUGCCUUACACAUGCAAGUCGAACGGCAGCACGGGGGCAACCCUGGUGGCGAGUGGCGAACGGGUGAGUAAUACAUCGGAACGUGCCCAGUAGUGGGGGAUAACCCGGCGAAAGCCGGGCUAAUACCGCAUACGACCUACGGGUGAAAGCGGAGGACCGUAAGGCCUCGCGCUAUUGGACCGGCCGAUGUCUGAUUAGCUAGUUGGCGGGGUAAAGGCCCACCAAGGGGACGAUCAGUAGCUGGUCUGAGAGGACGACCAGCCACACUGGGACUGAGACACGGCCCAGGCUCCUACGGGAGGCAGCAGUGGGGAAUUUUGGACAAUGGGCGCAAGCCUGAUCCAGCCAUGCCGCGUGCGGGAAGAAGGCCUUCGGGUUGUAAACCGCUUUUGGCAGGAACGAAACGGCGCAAGCUAAUACCUUGCGCUAAUGACGGUACCUGCAGAAUAAGCACCGGCUAACUACGUGCCAGCCGCCGCCGUAAUAC